rnacentral:tRNA from 1 species
UCUUUGCUAGUAUAUCGGUUAGUACACGCGCCUGUCAUCUUCAACAUGUGCUGACCGCGCGAAAGCUGGGUUCGACUCCCAGGCAGAGAG